rnacentral:lncRNA from 1 species
UUCUCCAUGCAAAAUUUCAUCAAAAACAAAUCCACGCACCUUCACACAUCAUCACAAAAGACGAAAUCCCCAAGGUGAACGCCACUUCAACUUCUACACUGAGGAGAAGGCACUCAAGACAGAUAUCCGUUCAUGUUGUCUGCAAGUGAUUCCAGACGUUUCAGCACCUGGGCAACAGUGCUGGACAGUGGAUUGCUGAAAGGGAAAACACCCAUUUGGUUUGAUGGCCAUUUGAUAAUUGGAGAGCAGCAUUGGAAUGUGACAACUUGUCUGGCUUCGUCUGGUCCUAAGUUACACCAAACAAAAUAAAAAAAAUCUCAACAAAUUUAGAUCAGGAUUUUCAGCUUAAAUUUCAGCUGAAGUUUUUGUGUGACUAGGUGCUUGUGACAAUAGAAAUCAAGGUUAACUUCCCCUGUCAAACUGUGGUAAAUCUUCAAGAUAUUGAUGCCGUCUUGGCUACUAUCUCUUCCCUUUUGCAGAUUACAGCAAAAUAAUGCGCAAAAUAAUCCUGGGACUACUGAAUAGGUCAUCCAAAUCACAGAAGAUUCAUCAUAAUUAUCGACUGAUUCUAUUAGACUUGCACCAACCCCAGCAUGGAUCAAUCUCUCAUUCCAUCUUCUAGAGAACCUUGGAUAACUGAUUGGUGGUUUUGUAU